GGCUCUGUAGUGAAGUUCAUGGUGAGUUGCAAGCUCAUUGAUGUGCACUAGCUGUGCACCAGGGUCU
rnacentral:tRNA from 1 species